GUGCACGCUGGCGGUAGGCCUAACACAUGCAAGUCGAACGGCAGCACAGUAAGAGCUUGCUCUUACGGGUGGCGAGUGGCGGACGGGUGAGGAAUACAUCGGAAUCUACUUUUUCGUGGGGGAUAACGUAGGGAAACUUACGCUAAUACCGCAUACGACCUACGGGUGAAAGCAGGGGAUCUUCGGACCUUGCGCGAUUGAAUGGGCCGAUGUCGGAUUAGCUAGUUGGCGGGGUAAAGGCCCACCAAGGCGACGAUCCGUAGCUGGUCUGAGAGGAUGAUCAGCCACACUGGAACUGAGACACGGUCCAGACUCCUACGGGAGGCAGCAGUGGGGAAUAUUGGACAAUGGGCGCAAGCCUGAUCCAGCCAUACCGCGUGGGUGAAGAAGGCCUUCGGGUUGUAAAGCCCUUUUGUUGGGAAAGAAAAGCAGCAGGUUAAUACCCCGCUGUUCUGACGGUACCCAAAGAAUAAGCACCGGCUAACUUCGUG
rnacentral:rRNA from 1 species